UUGACCUCAAAUCAGGUAGGACUAUCCGCUGAACUUAA
rnacentral:rRNA from 1 species